rnacentral:rRNA from 1 species
UACGGAGGGUGCAAGCGUUAUCCGGAUUUACUGGGUUUAAAGGGUGCGUAGGUGGUCAGGUAAGUCAGUGGUGAAAUCUCCGGGCUUAACCCGGAAACUGCCAUUGAUACUAUCUGUCUUGAAUAUCCUGGAGGUGAGCGGAAUAUGUCAUGUAGCGGUGAAAUGCUUAGAUAUGACAUAGAACACCAAUUGCGAAGGCAGCUCACUACGGGAUUAUUGACACUGAGGCACGAAAGCGUGGGGAUCAAACAGG